UCGCAGCAUUGGGGACAGGCGUCCCAAGCAGUUCAGAAAAGCCAAGGGAGACGUGCACACGCACAGAGUUCAUGCCCAGUAUGUGCAUUGCCUGCCCUGUCCCACUCCUCCUGGUGUCCCAGCGAGCCCUGACCCUGACCCAACUCCAUCUGCUUCCAUGUGAGCACGAAGACAGCUCAGGGUAUGCGGGUCAGUGGCGUGCAAUACAUUCAUAUUGCGGGGCAAGCCACCACCACCCAGCUCCAGAACUAAGCUUGCAAAACGGAAACUCUGGAAAAUUCUGACACCGUAGAACACCGAUGAAUCUUGAAGACUGGAAGUCUUCCACAGAAGGACAAAUACCGGAUGAUUCCACUUACAUGAGGUUUUUUAUUUACUUAUUCACGAGAGACACACAGAGAGAAGCAGAGACACAGGCAGAGGGAGAAGCAGGCUCCUGCAAGGAGCCGGAUGUGGGACUCAAUCCCGGGAAUCCAGGAUCAGGUCCUGAUCCAAAGGCAGACGCUCAACCGCUGGGCCCCCCAGGAGUCCCGAAAAAUCGCAUCCUUGAAAAUCUGAGUAUGGUCCAGUUAUGUUGGGGUGUCAUCAGAGUGAAGCCCGGGUCCCUGGACGCUCUCCUCCUCAUAGCACCCCCUCUGGGACUGCAGGACAGCAACUGAGCAGAGCCCUCUCCCCCCAUCCUGUGGAAAGAUCCAGCUGCAGGUGGGCAGCAAACACUAAUGAAACAAAAAAAAAGGAGAUUACUCCAAGGGGUUUUUACAGCAUCUGUUGUACCAAAUGUUUUCUGACGUUUGUACUAAUUCUCUCAGGAUCUUGCUCUAAGGACUCUAAUGACCUCAUUCCCGGCUAACUUGGCCUUCCGGCCAGACUGUAAGCAAGUGCAGACAGUCUCCCGAUGCAGGGGCUGAGAGGUGGGGACAGGGCGGCCUCCUGUCCCCAGGGUGUGUGUAUGGGUGGGGGUGGGCUCGCUGGGACCCCUGUCCUGGGAGUGGGGCCUGUGGGACCCCUCAGCCUCUCGCCCCUUCUUCCCUCCAUCCUCCAUGGGGAGGCAGUGGCUGCAAGCACUAAUGCUGGGAAUGCAGGAGAUAACAGUUUUUUCUUUUCUGCUCCACAGCUUCAUCGAGGUUUAAUUGACAUACAAUACACUGCCCUUUGACGUGUGCACUUUGAGAACUUCUGACAUGUGUACACACCCAUGACACCAUUACCAGGAGAUACAUGUCCAGCUCCCCCCCCUCUCCACCCCUGUGCCCCUCCCAGGCAACCACUGAUCUGCUUUUUGCUGCUAUGCAUUCAUUUCAUUUACUAGAAUUUUAUGUAAAUGGAAGGGAACGUUAUGCCCUCUUUUGGUCCAGAUUUGUUCGCUCUCCAUAAUUAUUUUGAGAUUCAUCCAUUGUCACGUGUAUCACCUGUUCCUUUCCUUUUAAUUCUGUAAUUUGUGUAUCCACUCAAGUGUGGAUGGGCAUUUGUGUGCAAGCCUUUGCGUGGACAGAUGCUUUCAUUUCUUCUGGGGAAGCACCUAGGCGUGGAAUAGCAGGCUCACAUGAUACGUACGUGUUUAUUUAAGAAAUUACCUCACCAUUUUCCAAAGUGGUUGAGCCAUUUUACAUUCCCACCAGCAGCACGUGAGAAUUCCAGUUGCUCCGCAUUCUUGCCAGCAUUUGCUACUGAAGCCCUUUAAUUUUGUACAUUCUAAUAGGGUGUCUUUACCCUACUACCCAACCACAGUAGUAGCUUGUGGUUUUGAUUUGCAUUUCCCCGACUAAUGAUUUUGAGCAUCUUUUCAUGUGCCUAUUUGCCAUCUGUAUACCUUCUUUGGUGGCUUGUCGAUUUGCAUCUUUGUCUAUUUUUAAGAUUGAGUUGUUGUUUUUUUUUCAAUUAUUCAGUUUUGAGAGUUUUAAAACAUAUAACUAAAUCCUUUAUCAGAUAUACACACCACAGUCUGUGACUUGCCUUUCCAUUCUCUUAACAGGGUCUUAGGAAGAGCACAGGAUUUCUUUCUAAGAAGUUUAAUUUAUCAAUAUUUAAUUUUAUAGAGGGUGCUAAGAAAUCUUUGCUUGCAAGAAGGUCACAAAGGUUUUCUCUUAUGAAUUCUUCCAGAUAUUUUACAGAUUUGGUUUUACAUUUAGAUUGAUGAUCCAUUUUGAGUUAAUUUUUAUAUAUGCUGAAAGGCAUGAGUCCAAGUUUAUUUAUCUGCAUAUUUAUAUCCAACUGUUGCAGCACCAUUUGUUGAAAAGACUGUUUUUUUCUUCACUGAAUUACCUUUGCACCUUUGUAGAAAAUCAGUUAUAUAUUUAUGUCGUAGGAUUGCCUAAUAAAAUACCACAAUCUGGGGUGCUUAAAACAACAGAAAUGAAUUAAUCUUACUGUUCUGGAGGUCCAGAGUCUGGAAUCAAGGUGUUGGCAGGGAGCCCUCUCACCCACAACCCCAAGACCGUAGAGUGGAGAACUCUCUCUUAUCUCUUCCAGCUUCUAGUGGCACCAGACAUUCCUUGGUUGGUGGAAGCAUAACCCCAAUCUCUGCCCCUGUCUUUACUGGCCUCCUUCUCAGUAUCUCUCAGGGUUUUCCCUUU